AAGCACUGAUUCCUGAAGAGCUGAUUAUAGCUGAUCAGCAACACCUGUGACACCUGCAGGAUGGGUAUAUGAAACCUGCCGUGUGGCUCAGAUCGUAUUUUCUGUUGGUGGCUGAAGUAAUGGGAGCGUUUUGGGCCUUGCUUGUUUUUGUGCUGACUGUCUGGUUCACCAAAGGCUCUGGUUGGCCAGUUGGUGGCACAAAUGUGAAUGGUAAUGGGCCGCAAAGGGCAAUGAGAGUAAUGGGAGCGUUUUGGGCCUUGCUUGUUUUUGUGCUGACUGUCUGGUUCACCAAAGGCUCUGGUUGGCCAGUUGGUGGCACAAAUGUGAAUGGUAAUGGGCCGCAAAGGGCAAUGAGAGAGCUGUCUCCUAAUGAGCCCUCCAUAAAGAAGGCCCUUACGCUUCACCAGUCUGAGUCUGUGUUCCUGCGGAAGUCAAAAGAAGUCCAACUGGAAACUAACGAAGUGGAGGUUAAGGCAUCAGCUGCCUACCUGAAAGCUGUUGAACAUGCGCAUAACGACGGCGUUCCCAUCGGCGCCACGCUGGGCGACUACGGCGGCGCCCUGCUCAACGGCUCGCUGGGCGACUACGGCGGCUACGGCGGCGCCCUGCUCAACGGCUCGCUGGGCGACUACGGCGGCGGCUACGGCGACGCCCUGCUCAACGGCUCGCUGGGCGACUACGGCGGCGGCUACGGCGACGCCCUGCUCAACGGCUCGCUGGGCGACUACGGCGGCGGCUACGGCGACGCCCUGCUCAACGGCUCGCUGGGCGACUACGGCGGCGGCUACGGCGACGCUCUGCUCAACGGCUCGCUGGGCGACUACGGCGGCGGCUACGGCGACGCCCUGCUCAACGGCUCGCUGGGCGACUACGGCGGC
ensembl:lncRNA